rnacentral:rRNA from 1 species
AGAACGAACGCUGGCGGCAGGCUUAACACAUGCAAGUCGAACGCCCCGCAAGGGGAGUGGCAGACGGGUGAGUAACGCGUGGGAAUCUACCCAAUUCUACGGAACAACAGUUGGAAACGACUGCUAAUACCGUAUACGCCCUACGGGGGAAAGAUUUAUCGGAAUUGGAUGAGCCCGCGUUGGAUUAGCUAGUUGGUGGGUAAAGGCCUACAAGGCGACGAUCCAUAGCUGGUCUGAGAGGAUGAUCAGCCACAUUGGGACUGAGACACGGCCCAAACUCCUACGGGAGGCAGCAGUGGGGAAUAUUGGACAAUGGGCGCAAGCCUGAUCCAGCCAUGCCGCGUGAGUGAUGAAGGUCUUAGGAUCGUAAAGCUCUUCACCGGAGAAGAUAAUGACGGUAUCCGGAAGAAGAACGCCCCGGACUAACGUUCGUGCCAGCACGCCGC